GAUGAACGCUAGCUACAGGCUUAACACAUGCAAGUCGAGGGGAAACGAUAGAGAAAGCUUGCUUUUUCUAGGCGUCGACCGGCGCACGGGUGAGUAACGCGUAUCCAACCUGCCCACCAUUUGGGGAUAACCUUGCGAAAGUAAGACUAAUACCCAAUGAUAUCUCAAGAAGACAUCUGAAUGAGGUUAAAGAUUUAUCGGUGAUGGAUGGGGAUGCGUCUGAUUAGCUUGUUGGCGGGGUAACGGCCCACCAAGGCGACGAUCAGUAGGGGUUCUGAGAGGAGGGUCCCCCACAUUGGAACUGAGACACGGUCCAAACUCCUACGGGAGGCAGCAGUGAGGAAUAUUGGUCAAUGGGCGAGAGCCUGAACCAGCCAAGUAGCGUGCAGGAUGACGGCCCUAUGGGUUGUAAACUGCUUUUAUAAGGGAAUAAAGUGAGUCUCGUGAGGCUUUUUGCAUGUACCUUAUGAAUAAGGACCGGCUAAUUCCGUGCCAGCCGCCGCCGUAA
rnacentral:rRNA from 1 species